UUUAGGAUAAAAUAAUGUACGUCUUCCUUUCAUUUUUUCCGAAGGAAGGGGAAACUAAUGGUUGGUAUGCGGAUUCAUUUCUUCGCUUUUUCCUUGGCAAGAACGGGAUGAAAAUGAUAGAAAAUACCAGAGAAGACGACAUUUUCCUUCUCCUGGACGCAGAUGAGCUUCCAACUAAAGAAGCAUUAAUCUUCCUCA